ensembl:lncRNA
GCAAUCAGUCUGAGGUCAGAGGUCAGUGUGAGGCCAGUCAGAGGUCAGUGUGAGGUCAGUCCGAGUUCAGUGUGCAAUCAGUCUGAGGUCAGAGGUCAGUGUGAGGUCAGUCAGAGGUCAGUGUGAGGUCAGUCCGAGUUCAGUGUGCAAUCAGUCUGAGGUCAGAGGUCAGUGUGAGGCCAGUCAGAGGUCAGUGUGAGGUCAGUCCGAGUUCAGUGUGCAAUCAGUCUGAGGUCAGAGGUCAGUGUGAGGUCAGUCUGAGGUCAGCGUGCGAUCAGUCUGAGGUCAGAGGUCAGUGUGAGGUCAGUCUGAGGUCAGUGUGAGGUCAGUCAGAGGUCAGUGUCUGAUCAGUCUGAGGUCAGUCAGAGGUCAGUGUGCAAUUAGUCUGAGGUCAGAGGUCAGUGUGAGGUCAGUCCGAGGUCAGCGUGCGAUCAGUCUGAGGUCAGAGGUCAGUGUGAGGUCAGUCCGAGGUCAGUCAGAGUUCAGUGUCUGAUCAGUCUGAGGUCAGAGGUCAGUGUGAGGUCACAUGGCGUGUGUCUGAUCAUCAUGUUUGUGGAUAAAGCUGAAUGUAUUGACUGUGUGUUUCACUGAAUUCGCUGAACUGACCGGCAGCUUGACUUUUAAAGUCGUGUCUGGUUUGCGUUUCUCUUACUUUCACUGAGAUGUUUGGGGGAUUGUUUUACUCUCUCAGUAGUUUA